CCGAAGAGAUUUGGCCGUGCUCGCAAGAGAACCGGAACACAGGUGCUGCAUGGCUGUCGUCAGCUCGUGUCGUGAGAUGUUGGGUUAAGUCCCGCAACGAGCGCAACCCUUGUCAUUAGUUGCUACGCAAGAGCACUCUAAUGAGACUGCCGGUGACAAACCGGAGGAAGGUGGGGAUGACGUCAAGUCCUCAUGGCCCUUAUGGGUAGGGCUUCACACGUCAUACAAUGGUCGGGACAGAGGGUCGCCAACCCGCGAGGGGGAGCCAAUCUCAGAAACCCGAUCGUAGUCCGGAUCGCAGUCUGCAACUCGACUGCGUGAAGUCGGAAUCGCUAGUAAUCGCGGAUCAGAAUGUCGCGGUGAAUACGUUCCCGGGUCUU
rnacentral:rRNA from 1 species